AUGGGUUGCCAUUUCCUCUUCCAGGAGCCCUGGAGGUCCAAAUGGCUUCAUCCAGGUUUGAAAAGUCAUUCAAGAGUGUUCAAAACCAAGACUAAGAAGAAUCAACUCAUAUUGGCUGAAACGAUCUCUUGGGGAUUCUGGCUGGAUCUGAUGGAAAUACUUUAGGGUACUUCCCGACCAAUUUGGACAAUGCAGGAACUUCAGGAUAACUUUUUUAGAAGUGGAAUUACAAGCCAGAAACAUUAAAUAAAUGACAAAAUUGCAUUCCAGAAGGACUGCAGGACUUUACCUUCUCACUUCCAGCCAAGGAACUUCUCUGUUUCUCCACACUGAUGACAGUAUUGAGAAUUUUUACGUAAAACUUUUUACACUAGUAUUAUAAUAUCUUAAUUUAAAUUUGUACUUCUUUGACUACUAUUGAGAAUAAUUUAAAAUAUUUUUUUAUUUUAUGCAAGUUGUCUCUUUCCUUUUCCCUAUUCGCUUGUAAAAAUUCUUGAUAUAAAUAUUUCAACUUGUGAUCUGUCAGGUAUUUGGCAACUGUUAUCCUCAAAAAUUUUGUUUAGGAUUUUUUUUGUGAUUCAUACAUUGUUUGUUUUUCAAAGACAAAUUUGCCUACCUUUUAUCUAUGUGGGUUUUUUUUUUUUUUGCCUUAGCUUUGUACUUGGUAAGUCUAAAACUCAAGAUCUCUGACCUAUGUUUUCUUCUAGGCUAAACAUUAAACAUCUAGAAAGUAUAUUGAUGCUAAUUUGAGGUGAAGAUUAAUGUCAUAUAGUCUCCAAAUAGCUAAUCUUUUUUCACAGGAUUAUUUAUUAAAUAAAGCUUCCUUUUCUUUUUUUUAAAAAAAAUUCAAUUAUGGUUGACUUACAAUAUUAGUUUCAUUGUACAACUUAGUGAUUUGUCACUACUUCCACAGGUUAUAUACUAUACAAGUAUGUGUGUUAGUUGCUGAGUAGUGUCUGACUCUUUGCAAUCCCCUGGACUGUAGCCUGCCAGGCUCCUCUGUCCAUGGAAUUCACCAGGCAAGAAUACUGGAGUGGGUUGCCAUGCCCUUCUCCAAUAUACUGUACAAAGUUUUUAUAAAAUAUUGGCUAUAUUUCCUGUGCUGUGUAUUACAUCCUUGUGACUUAUUUAUUUUGUACCUAGUAGUUUGUACCUCUUAAUCCCCUUCACUUAUUUUGACCCUUCCUUCAACCCAUCCCCUCUAGUUUAUCUGUAUCUUGAGUUGGUUUCUAUUUUGUUGUAUUCAUUCAUUUUAUUUUUUAGAUUCUACAUAUAAGUGAAGACAAAACACAUAUUUGUCUUUCUCUGACUUAUUUCACUAAACAUAGCACACUCCAGGUCCACCCAUCUUGUUGCAGAUGGCAAAAUUUUAUUCUUUUUUAUGGCUAAGUACUAUUUCAUUAUAUACAUAUACAUAUACAUGUAUGUAUAUAUGUACUAUCACAUCUUCCAUAUUCAUUCAUCUGUUGAUCAACACUUGGGUUGUUUCCAAUAUUCUCACAUAAUGUUCUUUA
rnacentral:lncRNA from 1 species